rnacentral:rRNA from 1 species
GACGAACGCUGGCGGCGUGCCUAAUACAUGCAAGUCGAGCGCGGGAAGCAUCCAGAUCCCUUCGGGGGUGACGGAUGUGGAACGAGCGGCGAACGGGUGAGUAACACGUGGGCAACCUGCCUGUAAGACCGGGAUAACUCCGGGAAACCGGUGCUAAUACCGGAUAAGACCGAAGGUCGCAUGAUCUUCGGGUGAAAGGCGGCUUCGGCUGUCGCUUACAGAUGGGCCCGCGGCGCAUUAGCUAGUUGGUGAGGUAACGGCUCGCCAAGGCGACGAUGCGUAGCCGACCUGAGAGGGUGAUCGGCCACACUGGGACUGAGACACGGCCCAG